UGAACUUAAGGUUUAAGCGGUAAUAGGUUUCCCGACUCAGAAUUGUGCGAAAAGUUUGCAUUUUCCAAGGGAUUUAUCAAAACCUCUGCACAGAGUGUAGUAAACUGAGUGUUAAGUUAAGAGAUUAUGGAAGAUGCUUUUCUUGUUUUUUUUAUGCAGUGAGUGAGCCAAACAGAAACUGAGAAGUAGCGUACAAGGAAAGAGAGUAAAAUAAACUGUUGAUCGGACACAGACUGUCUCUACAAAAAAGAGAAAAAAAAUUUAGGGCGCAUUAAAAUCUAGUUAUUUUUGAUUGAAGCGAAAUUUUGUUUUAUUUCCUUUGCCUUUCAGUUCAUUCGUCUGCUUAAGAAUCCAGAACAGGCAAACGCUGAAAUAUGGUACGGAACUGACUUUGAUAUAUAUAUAUAAUUUUAGGUUACAUACACUGAUUUUAUUUAUAAACGUAGGGCGAAGCCAUUCUUAGAUCGAGCGAAUUUCGCGAAUUAUAGAUUGUCUUCUAAAAGAGGCCGGUUGCUAUCUA